CCUGUUGCCACAAACCCGUAGAUCCGAACUUGUGCUGAUCGUCCACACAAGCUUGUGUCUAUAGGUAUGUGUCUGGUAGG
ensembl:miRNA Mir100 microRNA 100